GGAAAAAGACCAAAUGGCUAUGAAGGAAGAAAAGGAAGAGGAGGAGGAGGAGGAAGAGAAAGAGGUAGAGAUCUAGGAGGUAGUGAUGAUGGUGGUAGUGGUAGGGGUGAUGGUGGUGGCAAUGGAAGCAAUAUCAUGGAAAGUGAACUUCAAGAUAAUUCUGAUGAAAAUAUUGGAACUGACAAAGGAGGUGGGCGAAGAGGAGGAGUUAGAGGAGACAGAGGGAAAACAGGAGGUAGGGGCGAAGAGAAGGGAAAAAGAAGAGGUCAAGGAGGUGGAGGAGAAAAUCAGGAAGUAGGAGAUGGGGGAGAAAAUGAAAACUGGAAUGAUGAUGAAGGAAAUGAAGACUUAGAUAUAGGGGAAGGAGGAGAAGGAAAAGGCGGUCAUGGGAGAAGCAAGGAAGGAGUGAGAAGAAAAAGGCUGGAAGGUGAAGAUCCUACUAGUGAUCGUCAAGGCAGAGGCGAAAGAGGAAGAGGAGAAGGAGGCCAUAAAGGAGAAGGAUCAGCAAAUAAAGGAGAAAGAAGAGGACGUGGAAAUGGAAGAGGAGAAGCAGACGGGGGAGAAGUAGGAAUCAGAGGAGUACAAGGAACAAAACAAAAAAACAAAAGAGGAGAAGAAAGACAAACAGGAGAGGGAGUAGAAAGAGAUGAAGAAAAUGGAGGAAAUGAAGAAUCUGAGAAUAAAAAUGGAGACUUCGAACAUGAAGGAAAAGAAAGAAAUGAAAAUGGAAUAAGAAAAGUAAAUGGAGAAAAAGGUGAUAGAGGAAGAGGGAAAAGAUUUGGCCUGGAACAGAAUGAACGCUUACUCAAGAAACGAGAAUCUAUCGGAGCGAGAAUGAUAGGACGAACUAAGCAAGGAAGAGAAAGAGACAAAGAAGGGACCUUAAAUGGAGGAGAUAAUGUGAGGAAAAGAAACAGGCCAGAGAAUGUGCCAGUUAAGGGAAGAACGGUGGAGGAAACUGGAACAAGAAUGGAAGGAAAAACACUAGAAGAAUAUAACCAGAAUGGAAGAAAUCAUGAAAAUUUGAGAGGAGAAGAAUGGGAAGCAAUAUAUGAAAGUCGAAUUCCAGUCAGAAGUAACAGUAAAAUUUGGGAAGAGGGGAGUUCUGUGAACGACAGCGCGCGAUCAGGAGAUGAAAGGGAAGACCUGAAGAACUGGAGGAAUGAAUACGAGAAACGAAGUAAGGGCAUUCCACGUUAUAAAAGAAACGUCAACGGGAAGGAAGCAGAUGGAAGCAUGAAAGGAGAAUGGAGGAGAAGCAAAACAGAUCUCAGUAACUCUGUAAAUACUCGUAGAAAUAUUAGAACGAAGAGAAGAGGCAGUCAUGAGCCCAUAAAGAGAAGAAACAGCGAUGGAAUGACAAGAUUACCGAGAAGUAGAAGCAUGGGAAGAAACAAUAAGAGAAGAUUUGAUGACAGUACCGAACGCUGGGUGAAGGGAAACCACAAUAAUAACAAGAAAAUCUACAAUAACCACCAAACCUACAGCGGAAGAAGAGGGACUGCUGAAGGAUGGACACGCGGACGCAAAGACGACGCCGCCAACUGGUUUAGCGACAGACAAAGCUAUAACAGGUUCGGUGGCUGGAGCAAAGGGAGGGACGCGCUGGACAGUGGGCGGGGCGACACAGGUGUGGGAACAGGGCCACACGCUGCGGGAGUGACAGACUACGACGCGGUCUACCGUCUCAGUUACCAAGAGGCGCUUGAGAGCACUAGGUUGGGAUCGCCUCGUCAGCUGACCCGCAGCCUGAGUGAGGGCACCGUGUUUAGGAGGAUCGCGAACCUGGAAAAGAAGAAAACCAAUCGUAAACAUGGCCUCAUCAAGCGCUCAAGAAGCGCUGACCGCAUCAUGUACGCCCCGCACAAGUGGUAUUACGCCAGGAUCGCCAGACGCGAGGCGAAACAGAGGGCGCUCAAGGCCGAGGAGGAAGCCCGACUAGCAAAGGAGGCUGGUGAGUCUCCGCCCGUGAAGCCCAACGUAGAGAUCCUGUCGCUGGACGCCUCUCUGUCUGGCCCCAUCGCAUCGCUGCAGGAGGGCGUCAUCUCAGGUAUGGAGGUCCAAAACACAAAUGGCGCCCUCCUGACUUCCAGACCCGACCACCUGCAGUUCACCUACGCAGUGCAGGUGGACGGUGAGGAGCCCGCGAGGAGGGUCGGGCAGCGGGGCGGAGCAUGGGCGGCAGGCAAUGAGGGCAAGGGCGGCCGGCUGCAUGUGGGCGCCCCAGGCAAGAAGAAAGACAACCUCUCCACUCGUCUGGAGACAGUGCUGCAGGAGAAAGCAAAGGCGGAGGACAAGCGACUGAAACUUUUCAACCAAGCCAGAGAACUACACGAGAAGAUACAGAGGAAAAGAGAAAAGCGGCGGCAGGAAUGGUGGACGGCAUGGACGGACGAGCGGCGGAAGGGGAUGCAGCUGGAAGAGAAGCAGGGAUCCCUCCGUCGGGAGCUGGACGCCUUGCACCAACGCAUCAUCGGCCUCAUCAUGAAGCGACAGCCACUGGUCACGGGAGUGCGGGACGAACCCUCCAGACGGGCAAAUUACAAAAUCUCCAUCAUCCGCCUGAGACACGAGAUUGAGGACCUGAAGCGUCGGGUGGAGGCGAUGCACAUUAAGGUGGAGGCAGAAAAGAAGUUGAGGAGCCACGCUGAGCAGGAAGUCAAAACGCUGAGGUCGGAGGUGAGCCGCAAGAAGGCCAACAUGGCACUGACACAAGCCAAGUCCAGCAGCCUGCGACACCUCCCGCUACUGCCGCGAGAUUUGGUGGUGCGUAUGUGACGGCCACCACUGCUACCUCUUACCUCGGCUCAACAGGAUUCUCAUCCCCUCUAGGGGCCUCGCGAGUCCCUGCCUAUCCUGUAUGGUACUGUGGCGGUAUGUGGUGGGGCUCUGUGGGUGUUAUGCUGUACAGAGCGGAACAGUAUCCAUUCACUCGCCAUGUUGUGAAUGUUUAGUGGUGUAGUGACUAAAUGCUUCGCUGUGAACGUUUUAAGGGCGUCGCAUUAGUCUGGUGAUCUAUAGUGAUGGCUCAUGUUGCUGAUCUGAAGAAUAUGCAUGACUAUUCAAGAGAUCCAGUGAGCUUGUGAGACGCGGUCCAGUGAACAACCUGAACUCAGCGCCUACAACCUCCCCUUGAAUGACUGAUAUUGCUUUUGGCCUCUCUGACCACGUGUCUGUGGCCUGUGAAAUAUCCGCAAGGGGUGAACUUGUACAUACGAACUAUUUCUACUGUGUGGAAAAUCAGUACGUCUUCUCUCACUCCGAGGACCAAGAGUUAGAAAGCUCACUGAGAAGCAUCCUUGGGUUCACCUCCCGCUAAGAUCGCACAAGCCGUUGAUCGUCUCCUCGAAAAUAUAGAAUCUCAUGUAAAUAUGUUUUGUGAAGAUGAUGUCAUCUUUUGAAUGUAACUUUAAAAUAAAGAUGAAUAUAUC